UACGGGGGGGGCAAGCGUUGUUCGGAAUUACUGGGCGUAAAGGGUUCGUAGGUGGCCAACUAAGUCAGACGUGAAAUCCCUCAGCUUAACUGGGGAACUGCGUCUGAUACUGGUCGGCUUGAGUGCAGGAGAGGAACGCGGAAUUCCCGGUGUAGCAGUGAAAUGCGUAGAGAUCGGGAGGAACACCAGUGGCGAAGGCGGCUACCUGGACCAGCACUGACACUGAAGCACGAAAGCGUGGGGAGCAAACAGG
rnacentral:rRNA from 1 species